ensembl:ncRNA lncRNA:CR43607 long non-coding RNA:CR43607
UUCUGACGGCACACACAAGCUGGGGCACACACCCCCACCGCCCAACUGCACACACACACACACACACACAACCGCAACGGACACACACACCAGCGAAGAGUACCCCAGUGUUUAACAAUGGACUCAACACAACUCGACUUGACUCAGCUCAGCUCAGCUGGCUGUGUUCAUUCAUAUAUUCAUGCAAACACGCACCCACACUCAAACACCACGCACAGCAGCGGAUGACGUCCUGGCCACUGAGGAUAAUCAAAGGGGUCCUAGAAGACUACAGGCUGCGAGAAGCGUUUCAUUGGUAACCUCAGGAUGAUACAUAUGCUGGAAUUGGAGGCCAUACUUGGACGGAUUCAACAGAUAGUAGAGCCGUUGAGUUUUGUGCUUAUCCCGAGACUCCAGGCCGAAACUCAACGAUCACGGAGAGAAAUCGGGGCUGCUUUCAAUGCCAGGUGCUGGAGAACCGGAAGGAAACCGAGUAAAACUAGUUCAAGCACAUAGCGAUACGAUUGGAAAAAUGGGAAAAGCGGGCCACAGGAGCACCGGCAAGGAAAACCUUUGGCGUGCUCGUUUUGCAUAAAUAAUAUUGAUUUAUUGGGUAGCGCAGCAUUUUGCGGUUCAUAAGCGGGCAAUCUUAAUGCCAAAGAAGCCGAAAUGGUAGAAUAAACGAAACGAAUAAGAAUAAAGAAUAAAGAAUAAAGAAAAGGCGGAAGCCCCAAGUAUGACACAC